GUCUUAUUGAUAAUAAUUUUAAGUCUGAUCUGCCCAGUGAUUUAUUAAAUGGCUGCAGUAUUUUAACUGUACAAAGGUAGCAUAAUAAUUAGUUUCUUAAUUAGGGACUGGAAUGAAAGAUUGAACGAGACAAUAACUGUCUUAAUAUAAAUUUAAGAAUUUUAUUUUUAAGUUAAAAAGCUUAAAUUUUUUUAAAAGACGAGAAGACCCUAUAGAAUUUUAUAUUAUUUUUGUAUUUAAAUUGUAGGAUUUAAAUUUUAAAUUUUUGUUAAGAAUAUUUAGUUGGGGUGAUUAAAAAAUUUAUUUAACUUUUUUUUACUUAUAACAUUAAUUUAUGUAUAGUUGAUCCAAUAUUUUUGAUUAUAAGAUUAAAUUACCUUAGGGAUAACAGCGUGAUUUUUUUAGAGAGUUCUUAUCGAUAAAAGAGAUUGCGACCUCGAUGUUGGAUUAAAGUUAAUUUUUAAUGUAGAAGUUAAAAUAUUGGGUCUGUUCGACCCUUGAAACUUUACAUGAUCUGAGUUUAAAUCGGCGUGAGCCAGGUUGGAUUCUAUCUUUAAAGAAUUUUAGUAUUUUAGUACGAAAGGACCAAAUACUAUUUACAUUAAAUUUUAUAGAAUAU
rnacentral:rRNA from 1 species